rnacentral:rRNA from 1 species
AAAAUGCUUUUUACAGCAGAUUCAGGAAUUAAUAAUAGGUUUAUGAAAGAUUUGUGCCAGCACUUGCGGUUAUACAUUCUGAAGUCUUCAAACUCUAGCUAUUCACUUUCCCUUAUUGUUUUAAUUUUUUUCUCUUUUUGGUUCGGUAAAAUGUUCAACGAGAUGAAAUUGAAGAAAAGGGGGUAGAGGAAUGAAUAUAAACUAGGAUUAGAUACCCUACUAUUCUUUUAAAUUAAGGUGUGUGGAAAAAAAUAAAAAGUAUGGCGGUCUUCAAUCUUGUCAGAGGGACAUGUGUUCAUAUAACGAAUUUGCACGAAUAUCUGUCCUAAUCUAGAAUAAUUCAUUUUGUACACCGCUGUCUGAAAGAAAUUAUAAAAGUAUUUUCUUCUUUCUUUUAAAGAAAUAAGGCAAGUUAAGGUGCAGAUUAUGUUUAGGGGAAUAUGUGUUCCACUAGGAAUUGUGGUUUUAUCAGUGAAAUAGAUUAAUAAAGAGAAUUUGAUAGUAAGAUUGGUAAUUUAACUAGUCUGAAGAAGGGCUAUAGGAGGUGUACAAAUUGCCCGUCACUCUAAGCUUACAGCUAGAGAAGUCGUAACAAAGUUGGUCUACUGGAAUGUGGAUCAGGAGUAACGGAUGAUUCUUAAAAGAGAU